UAGUGGAAGCCUCUGGAAAUAGGCGCCAUAGCGGGUGAUAGCCCCGUACACGAAAAACUGCAUGAGAUGAAAUCGAGUAAGGCGAGGCACGUGAAACCUUGUCUGAAUAUGGGGGGACCAUCCUCCAAGGCUAAAUACUCGUUGCCGACCGAUAGUGAACCAGUACCGUGAGGGAAAGGCGAAAAGAACCCCUGUGAGGGGAGUGAAAUAGAACCUGAAACCGGAUGCGUACAAGCAGUCAGAGCCCGCAAGGGUGAUGGCGUACCUUUUGUAUAAUGGGUCAGCGACUUACUAGUCUGUAGCAAGCCUAACCGUAUAGGGAAGGCGUAGGGAAACCGAGUCUUAAUAGGGCGCUUAGUUGCAGGCUGUAGACCCGAAACCCGUCGAUCUAUCCAUGUCCAGG
rnacentral:rRNA from 10 species